ACAUUAAAUGAACUACCGUGGCUUUUUAUAUACAUUCUUGCUUUUGACAGUAUAUCUCUACAGAUACGUUGGGUUUUAUGAGCCGAAAAGGGAAAGUUUACAUUUAUUGGAUUGGCGAAUCAGUUUUGAAUUAAUCAGUGCAAAGAUGACACACAAAGGGAUAUAUUAAAAUGAAUAGUUCAACAGGGAGAUAGAUUAUUAUGUGCAAUGGAUUGCAUUUAAUAGUUAAAUGGUCGUGAUUAAAACCACAAAUUGUUGGUAACCCAAUGUCAGAACCGUUCGGUCAAUUUGCAGACCGAGAUUAUGUGUGGAUCACAGGAGUCUGUGUGUCAGCAGUGAUAGUUGCUAUUGUUCUUGCCAUUAUUAUGAUUUAUGCCUAUAUGAAGUGGAAAAGGGAAUAUGUCAGGACAAAUCCAAAAGCUGCGAGAAAGAAAGGAGACAAACGACC